rnacentral:rRNA from 1 species
UUUCUCCUACGGGGGGCAGCAGUGGGGAAUAUUGCGCAAUGGGCGAAAGCCUGACGCAGCGACGCCGCGUGAGGGAUGAAGGUAUUCGGAUCGUAAACCUCUGUCAGCAGGGAAGAACGGUCACUGUGCUAAUCAGCAGUGAAUUGACGGUACCUGCAAAGGAAGCACCGGCUAACUCCGUGCCAGCAGCCGCGGUAAUACGGAGGGUGCGUGCGUUAAUCGGAAUUACUGGGCGUAAAGCGCUCGUAGGCGGUAUGUCAAGUCAAGGCUGACGUCCCC